UACGUAGGGCGCAAGCGUUGUCCGGAAUUAUUGGGCGUAAAGAGCUCGUAGGCGGCCUGUCGCGUCUGCUGUGAAAUCCCGGGGCUUAACCCCGGGCGUGCAGUGGAUACGGGCUGGCUGGAGGCAGGCAGGGGAGAACGGAAUUCCCGGUGUAGCGGUGAAAUGCGCAGAUAUCGGGAGGAACACCAGUGGCGAAGGCGAUCAUCUGGGGUUGUUCUGACACUGAGGAGCGAAAGCUAGGGGAGCAAACGGG
rnacentral:rRNA from 1 species